GGGGCUGUUCUGUGUUUGGGUGUGCCGUGGGUUGGCUGUGACAUUUUACGGAAUCCGACCUAAUGGGGUUACAGUUAUAUGCUCCUCUUUCAAGCCCACCUCUCGAGCAAGACUGUGGCCGUAUAGACACUGCUCAUCCUCCAAAUCCAGGCUAGGGAAUGGCCAGCAAGUUGUGUCCAGGCUUCAAAGGGUCAAUGCCAAAUAUGAGCACUUCCUCCAAAGACGUUCCUCACUUUUAUGUUCUCUAUAGCACUUUUACGAAAGGAUUUUGGCUCUUUUUCCAAGAUACCAAAGAGGUGAAGGUGAUAAAAACAAGGAUGCUCACCAACAGUGUCAAAGUCCAGGACUUAACCUAUCGUGAUAUGGAGAAACUCGGGCAGGUACCUUCUCCCCUGCCAGCUCCUGAUCCGCCACUUCUGGACCCGCCAGCAGCAGACAGAGUUCCAGGAAGUGAACCAUUCCCACAGGGUCCAACACCACUGGGCAGUGGUGAAGGGGCUUGAGAGUGCAGGUUCACAUGUCAAAGACAGCUGCCUACUAGACCUCUGCCACAAGGUGCAAAUUGGGGUACAUAUCUGACAUCCAGGCAAUUUGAUACCCUGGGUAUCAAGAGAAUGAACGCAGAUCAGAUGGUCAGUGCUUCCUUUUAUUCAGAAAUUUCCUGAAAAAUGAGUCAUGGGUUUACGGAAUGGAUAUCAGACCCUACUGGAUUUGCCUCGUCAGAAAUACACAACAUACAAGGCAACUCUGUCCCCUGUUCUUCCUGACUCCCCGCUUCCCAACUCCCAGGAUUGCCACUUGACUGAACAGCCAUGGCAUAGAGCUACUACAGCUGGACCGUGCUCUCAGCAGACAUGGCCUGCACCAGUUGGAUGACUCAGAGCUGAGACAGAAUGGACCAUUAUCAUGCACCCAUCUCGAAACAGGGGCAUGGGAAAAAAAAUACCUGUCAUCUAUGCACUUAGAGCGAACGGAGGAAGCUUUUCCCGUGGUUCAUUUUCAUGCCAGCCAGUGUUUUUCUUUCUUUGUGGGGAGACCGAUGUAAAUAUGGCUUAUUGUCCUCAUGCCUCUAUGUCCCAGAGUCAGAGGUCUCUCUGCUUGUGCAUAGCAUGGUCUUGCUCUCUACCAACUACCCAAAGCCCUACCAACAUUAACAGGAAGGAACAAGGAGUGAUCUGCCACUUCCAUUAAUUCAGCCAUCUCUCACCAUGCUGGGCAGGGCAACUUUCCUAUAGGCCGUCAACAUCUGCAGUCUACCAACGCAAUGGAAUAAACACCAAGCUUUACAACUCAUCUCACUUUUAGGGCAAAGUGAUUACUUGAUACAUUUCAUUUCUGUGGUGAUUGUGACAGAAAUGUGAUAACAUUAACGUCUCAAACUGGUCGAUAAUUUCAGGCUCCAAAUCAAAUCCUAUGUCACGUGCACACUAUACCCCAACAUUUUGUUUGAGAAAACUGUCAGUAGAGUUGGAAACCCAUUUUACUUUUGUCAUUAGUCCACUGUUGAUACAGUUCCAAAAUGUUUUGCAUGUCUGCAGUCAAAUUAGCAAGAUGAAGCGCUUAAGUCAAAUCUUUAAUUUGACUGCUGACAUGAAAAACAUUAACUGUAUCAGUGGACUAAUGAAAGAAAAUACCAAAAUAGUUUGAGGGGAGUAAUCUGAUUACAAUUGGACAGGUAACCAGUAUGAACAGAUUACAUUUAGAAAGUAACCUACCCAACCCUGUACAGUGGGUUGUAAUAAGGAUGCUUUUGACAUUGGGGAAAAGCAAAGAGCAACUACUGAUAGUAGAGUAGUAAGUGCAAUGUUUUAUAGAAUGUUGCUUUACAUUAGCACCUAAUGUUGCUUGCCAAUGCUGUAGUAAGGUGAUACUGGCUCUCAGGACACUGGUGAAUAAUCACUGCAAUUCAACAGGCCAUUAGACACAUUUAAAAAUGUUUCAGCUAUGAUGGCACUUUACUUGUUCCAGCAUUGUUUAGUUGAUAGGAAAUGCAUUUCAUGUUGGAAAAAUUGUUAGAACUUUAUUCACCAACCAGUGACAAACUGCACAGCUACAGUAAAUGGCAAAUGCCCUUAAAUGGUGCAAUCCAUUAAAAAAUGUAUGGGAUUGCCAGUCAGUCAUUUUGAAGUUGCCAAUAAGUUUCUCAGAUAAAUAUGCAAACUGUUUUGUAUUUUUUACAAAAUGCAUUUCAUCUACUUUUGUUCAACUCCUUUGGGGCUUUGGAAUCCAUUAUCUGGUGUAUUAAGGUCAUGUUUCUGAAAUAAAAUGUACCACCUAAAGUACUUGUCAAUGUAGAGAAAUGCUCUUAUUUACAGUAAGAACCAGUUGACCUGCACAUUGCAUGUUUACAAGCAUUGUCAUCACCAAUUAUUUAAAUAAACCUACAGCCUUGUCCUUGAAUGCAAAUUUACUGAACAUACUUAAAUAUCAAUGCAACAAUUUCACUGAGUUACAGUUCAUAAGGAAAUCAGUCACUAAUCUAUGGAUUUGGUUGGUCACACACCUUAGA